rnacentral:rRNA from 1 species
AUUGAACGCUGGCGUCAGGCCUAACACAUGCAAGUCGAGCGGAGCGGCGGACGGGCGAGUAAUGGCUAGGAAUCUGCCUGGUAGUGGGGGAUAACGUCCGGAAACGGGCGCUAAUCCCGCAUACUCUCGGUUGAGCCUCGGUCGGGUUAGCUAGUCUGUGGGGUAAAGGCCUACCAAGGCGACGAUCCGUAACUGGUAUGAGAGGAUGAUCAGGCACACUGUAACUGAGACACGGUCCAGACUCCUACGGGAGGCAUCAGUGGGGAAUAUUGGACAAUGGGCGAAAGCCUGAUCCAGCCAUGCCGCGUGUGUGAAGAAGGUCUUCGGAUUGUAAAGCACUUUAAGUUGGGAGGCGUUACCAACAGAAUAAGCACCGGCUAACUUCGGGCCAGCAGCCGCGGUAAUAC